rnacentral:rRNA from 1 species
CUACGGGCUGCACCAGUGAGGAAUAUUGGUCAAUGGGCGGGAGCCUGAACCAGCCAAGUCGCGUGAGGGAAGACGGUCCUAUGGAUUGUAAACCUCUUUUGUCGGGGAGCAACGGGUUCCACGAGUGGGAUUGUGAGCGUACCCGAAGAAAAAGCAUCGGCUAACUCCGUGCCAGCAGCCGCGGUAAUACGGAGGAUGCGAGCGUUAUCCGGAUUUAUUGGGUUUAAAGGGUGCGUAGGCGGCAUCUCAAGUCAGCGGUAAAAUUUCGGGGCUCAACCCCGGGGAGCCGUUGAAACUGGGAAGCUCGAGUACGUCGGGAGUAUGCGGAAUGCGCAGUGUAGCGGUGAAAUGCAUAGAUAUUGCGCAGAACUCCGAUCGCGAAGGCAGCAUACUAUGGCGAAACAGACGCUGAGGCACGAAAGCGUGGGGAUCGAACAGGAUUAGAUACCCCGGUAGUC